rnacentral:rRNA from 1 species
GAUGAACGCUAGCGGCAGGCCUAAUACAUGCAAGUCGAACGGUUGUAGUGAUACAAUAGUGGCGCACGGGUGCGUAACACGUAUGCAACCUACCUUAUAGACGGGGAUAGCCUUUGGAAACGGAGAUUAAUACCCGAUAGUAACCUUGAUUGGCAUCAAUUAAUGUUUAAAGAUUUAUCGCUAUAAGCUGGGCAUGCGUCCAAUUAGUUAGUUGGUUAGGUAAUGGCUGACCAAGACGAUGAUUGGUAGGGGAACUGAGAGGUUAAUCCCCCACACUGGCACUGAGAUACGGGCCAGACUCCUACGGGAGGCAGCAGUAGGGAAUAUUGGGCAAUGGAGGCAACUCUGACCCAGCCAUGCCGCGUGCAGGAUGAAGGCGUUAUGCGUUGUAAACUGCUUUUAUAUAGGAAGAAAUAGACCUUGCGAGGUAAGUUGACGGUACUAUAUGAAUAAGCACCGGCUAACUCCGUGCCAGCAGCCGCGGUAAUACGGAGGGUGCAAGCGUUGUCCGGAUUUAUUGGGUUUAAAGGGUGCGUAGGCGGUUUAUUAAGUCAGUGGUGAAAGACGGUCGCUCAACGAUUGCAGUGCCAUUGAUACUGGUAGACUUGAGUGAGAUUGAGGUAGCUGGAAUGGAUAGUGUAGCGGUGAAAUGCAUAGAUAUAUCCAGAACACCAAUUGCGUAGGCAAGUUACUAAGUCUCAACUGACGCUGAGGCACGAAAGUGGUGGGUAUCAAACAGGAUUAGAUACCCUGGUAGUCACACUGUAAACGAUGAUA